GAUGAACGCUCGCUACAGGCUUAACACAUGCAAGUCGAGGGGAAACGCUGAGAGAGCUUGCUCUCUUAGGCGUCGACCGGCGCACGGGUGAGUAACGCGUAUCCAACCUACCCAUUACAGGGGGAUAACCUUGCGAAAGUAAGACUAAUACCCCAUGGCAUUUUAUGGUGGCAUCAUUAUAGGAUUAAAGAUUUAUUGGUAAUGGAUGGGGAUGCGUCUGAUUAGCUUGUUGGCGGGGUAACGGCCCACCAAGGCAACGAUCAGUAGGGGUUCUGAGAGGAAGGUCCCCCACAUUGGAACUGAGACACGGUCCAAACUCCUACGGGAGGCAGCAGUGAGGAAUAUUGGUCAAUGGGCGAGAGCUUGAACCAGCCAAGUAGCGUGCAGGAUGACGGCCCUAUGGGUUGUAAACUGCUUUUAUAGGGGAAUAAAGUGAGCUACGUGUAGUUUAUUGCAUGUACCCUAUGAAUAAGGACCGGCUAAUUCCGUG
rnacentral:rRNA from 1 species